rnacentral:misc_RNA from 1 species
AGGCCGCGAGCCCGCGAGGGUUUCAGUGUCGCAUCUCGCCUUUGCUGUCGAAAACUCGCCGUUCAGUGUCGUUUUGUCAACAUGGGCUGGCUGGACGUCGGAGCUUGUAUGGCGCUUGCCGCUCUAGUCACCGGAAGCAUUGUCACGCAUCCUCCUCCUCUCGAGCCAACCGACGCAUUUAGGAUGAUCGGCGCGUUUCCCCGUGUAGUGGCCAUAUCCUCCUCCAACAACGACACUUCGUUCAAGUGCCUGGCUGCGACAAGAACUCAUUUCGACUUGGAAGCAAAGAGGGCUGUCUACGUGUGGCACUUAGGAGGAAGCCGAGCAGCCACGGCUAAGUAACCUGAUCAGCAUUUCUUUUGUCACGAGGAACGUUACAUUCGACAUCGAAGCAGGAAAUGCGCCUGACCAGACAACUUACUUUGUAGACAACGACCGGACUCUCCCGUUCACGGCCUACUACAACUACACUGACUACGAUAAUUGCAUGGUCACCAUAGUUCCUUACAACAACCACAGCCAUUGUUUACUCUGGGUCAAACCUGCGGUUGCGCACGCUGUACCUAGGCACUGUUUGGACCACUAUGAAGAGACGUGCGAUGUUCGGGUACCACAGUAUGACAAUGACCUGUGCGGCCACCAGGAAUGAUGAGACAUGUAAAAUAAACGCUCUUCUUUUAAUUUA